CCUACGGGAGGCAGCAGUGAGGAAUAUUGGUCAAUGGGCGCGAGCCUGAACCAGCCAAGUCGCGUGAAGGAUGACUGCCCUACGGGUUGUAAACUUCUUUUAUAAAGGAAUAAAGUGAGGCACGCGUGCCCUUUUGUAUGUACUUUAUGAAUAAGGAUCGGCUAACUCCGUGCCAGCAGCCGCGGUAAUACGGAGGAUCCGAGCGUUAUCCGGAUUUAUUGGGUUUAAAGGGUGCGUAGGCGGCCUUUUAAGUCAGCGGUGAAAGUCUGUGGCUCAACCCUAGAAUUGCCGUUGAAACUGGGGGGCUUGAGUAUGUUAGAGGCAGGCGGAAUGCGUGGUGUAGCGGUGAAAUGCAUAGAUAUCGCGCAGAACCCCGAUUGCGAAGGCAGCCUGCCGGGCCAUGACUGACGCUGAGGCACGAAAGCGUGGGGAUCAAACAGGAUUAGAUACCCGAGUAGUC
rnacentral:rRNA from 1 species